UACGUAGGUGGCAAGCGUUGUCCGGAUUUAUUGGGUUUAAAGGGUGCGUAGGCGGCCUAUUAAGUCAGUGCUGAAAUAUCCCGGCUUAACCGGGAGGGUGGCAUUGAUACUGAUGGGCUUGAGUGCAGUCGAGGUAGGCGGAAUUGACGGUGUAGCGGUGAAAUGCUUAGAUAUCGUCAAGAACACCGAUAGUGUAGACAGCUUACUAGGCUGUAACUGACGCUGAGGCACGAAAGUGUGGGGAUCAAACAGG
rnacentral:rRNA from 1 species